AGUGAACGCUGGCGGUAGGCCUAACACAUGCAAGUCGAACGGCAGCACAGUAAGAGCUUGCUCUUACGGGUGGCGAGUGGCGGACGGGUGAGGAAUACAUCGGAAUCUACUUUUUCGUGGGGGAUAACGUAGGGAAACUUACGCUAAUACCGCAUACGACCUACGGGUGAAAGCAGUGGAUCUUCGGACCUUGCGCGAUUGAAUGAGCCGAUGUCGGAUUAGCUAGUUGGCGGGGUAAAGGCCCACCAAGGCGACGAUCCGUAGCUGGUCUGAGAGGAUGGUCAGCCACACUGGAGCUGAGACACGGUCCAGACUCCUACGGGAGGCAGCAGUGGGGAAUAUUGGGCAAUGGGCGCGAGCCUGAUCCAGCCAUACCGCGUGGGAGAAGAAGGCCUUCGGGUUGUAAAGCCCUUUUGUUGGGAAAGAAAAGCAGCAGGUUAAUACCCCGCUGUUCUGACGGUACCCAAAGAAUAAGCACCGGCUAACUUCGUG
rnacentral:rRNA from 1 species